GAGGUAGAUUUUUCAUGAAAAUUCUUAUAGUUGAUCAACAAAGCAUUUCCCUUUUGAGAUGGGCAUUGAUUUGUUUUCAUGUUCUAGUACUGCAUGCAUAACUUGACAACCACAGAAACCACUGCCAUUACAUACUCUGCAAGUACUUGUGCACAUUGUUAGUCUUUUUAUGCAAUGGGCUAAUGGUUAGAGUUAUGGCUUAGGGUUGUAGGGUUGCGUCUUCUCCUGAUUGAAGUAUAUCCACUGGAGUGAAUAGAUGAGCUGCCUAAUCCAAAACAUUAUUUAUUUAGCAGAAAUAUUGGAUUAAUACUCCUUCCGUUUUUUAAUAGAUGACGCUGUUGACUUUAGACAUACAUUUGACCAUUCGACUUAAUCAAAAAAUUUGUGCAAAUAUACAAAAUUAUAAGUCAUGCUUAAAGAACCUUUAGUGAUAAAUCAAGUCAUAACAAAAUAAAUGAUAAUAAUUAUUUUUUUUUGCAAUAGAAUGGUCAAUAUCUCAAAAGGUCAACUGCGUCAUCUAUUAAAAAACGGAGGUAGUAAUAUAAAUGUGUUGCCUGGUUGAUAAAAUUGCAAUGUGAUACAUAACUACUUUCUGAAAAGGUAGACCUUAGGUUUCUAGAUAAUUUUCCCCUCCUAGAUGCUUAUGAUGUUCUCCUUAAAGAGAAAAAGGAGGCUAUAUUGUGCACAUGCUCUGGGAUAUACCGCGUUCAACAAUUAAGCAUGUGAUCCAUGGCUUAGAGUGUUUUAUUUCCUUGGCUCCAUGCAAAAUCUUGUAGUAGAGUAUUUGAACCCCAUAAAAAAAAUUGGUGGGUGGAUCUACCAUGAUCAGGGUUUUAGAAACUGCAACAACAGUCAAAACUGGAUCCCGUCUUUCCAGAGAGCAACCGGUCCAGGACAAAAUUAGAUUGGUUGCUGGUUGAUGGAAUGAAUGCUUCCUCCUUGGUUCUGUCCAUGAGGCAGCGCCAGGAUUUGAGCUUUGCGAUGCUAGUCAUCUGAAUGGAUGUUGAAUUUGAGUGGCUGAUUCUGGUUGAGGUGCUUUACAUAGCAGCUUAAGAAAUAGUUCUUGUUGCAUAGUUGUAUGUACUGACAAAUGAUCUAGAAAACAAUGUUCAGAUUAUACACCAUACACAAAAAGUUGGAAAAGGUUCCUUGAGAUCUGUAAUUGUUCUUUAAUGAAAAUGGAGCUGAGGUUAAAAAUCUUUUGGGUGAUCUUGAUUAAGCAAUAAACUUUUGGUCAUGGUUAUGCUAUCUAGUGAAUUGCUUUUCUAAUAUACCUGGCUGCAGAGGU
rnacentral:lncRNA from 1 species